CCACAUUGUAGUGUGUGUCAGUACUUCAUAUAUUUUUUUUUAAGUGAUUGAACCCAAAUUUCAUCUGUGGAUGGUUGGAUAACACCUGCAUGCAUGCUAAGUCACUUUAGUCGUGUCCAACUCUUUGUGACUCUAUGAACUGUAGCCCACCAGGCUCCUCUGUCCAUGGAAUUCUCCAGGCAAGAAUACUGCAGUCGGUUGUCAUGCCCUCCUCCAGGGGAUCUUCUAGACCCAGGGACUGAACCUGUGUCUCUUACCUCUCCUGCAUUAACAGCACACCUCUGGACCAAGUCUUCACUGGAGGAGUACCAUAGUUGAAGAGCACAUGACCUCAUCAGCUCCAGAGUCUUCCCAUCUUUCUCGACCAGAUCAGAUUCUUCAGCCCACAGAGCCUCUCCUGACCUUCCUUAAUGGAGAGAGCUUAUCCCCUCUCUCACUCCUGCACAGCUUCACCUGCACUACUCUCAGAGUGUCAUUACCUGCUGCCUCAAGUUAUAAUUAUUUGUGGACAGAUCUCACUUUCAUCUAGUUCUGUAUCUGUACAGGCUGAAUAAUGAUCCCCAAAGAUGUCCACGUCCUCAUCACCAGAACCGGUGAACAUCACCUUCCUUGGCAAGAUGGACUUGGCAGAUAUGAUUAAGCUUAGGAUCUGGAGGUGCAAGAGGUUAUCCUGGCUCACCCAGGUGGCCCCAAAUAUAAACCUAAAGGGAGGCAGAGGGAGAGGAAGACUUGGCUGAAGUGGAGGAGGGCCUGAUGAGACCAGAGGCAGGGAUGGGAGUAAUGCAGAGAGGAGCCAUCAGAAGCUGCAAAAGGUGAGGAUCAGCUUACCUCCUGGAGCCUCCAGAAGGAACAGGCCCUGCUGACACCUUGGUUUCAGCUCCUCAAGACUUAUCUGGAUGUCUGGCCUCCAGAACUGUUAGAUAAUAAAUCUGUGGAGUGUUUUUACUUCUGGUUGUCAAGCCUCUAAGUUUGUGGUAAUUUGUCAAGAACCCAGUUGGAAACAAUCACUGCUAUUCCCCACAUCCUAAAGGCUAUAACAGACUCACUCAGAGCCCCAGCCAAGUACCAAGAAUUACCCCUUUAGCGGGGAACAGAGUUGGGGCUGUCCAAGUCUUGCUUGAGGAAUAAGACUUUGAGAAUGGAUUCUGGCCUCGUUCUGCUUUUUUGAAUUGACCCAACUCCGAGUCCACACUUACCGCACACGCGAUCCUUCCCCUGGGCCGCAGCUUCACACUCCAGUCUUGUUCACAAGUGAGAUGUCACUGACCUCAGCAUCUUGUGGUCUCUGUGAGCUGAGUUCAAAGUCACCAUGAAUUCUGCAUUAUAGAAGUUAUUUCCAGGAUGACUACUGAAAGUCGCAAAUUAAAAAGAAAUAAGUUCAAAAGAUUGUUACAGGAUCUUGAAUAUAGUUCCCUGAGCUGUACAGUAGGAACUUGCUGUUUACCUACUAUAUACAUAGUAGUUUGUACCUGCUAACCCCAAAUCUACAGUCAUUUAAAAUCCACACAUAUAUACAAAAUUCCACAUGCACACUUAUAUCAUGCUCGGUGGAUGUCAGUUUGUUCUUAAGAUAAUAACCUCUCAGUGGGACUAUCCCCCCCAUGACCUGGUCAAUACAUUUAUAGAAUGUAAUUAAACCAUAUCACUUCCAUGAC
ensembl:lncRNA